AAACCUUGGUGCGGGCAAUCUCGUUGGUACUCUUUGAAUCGAACCCAAGCAGCUUUGAAUGCGUCUGCUGGUCCUUGAGUGAAUGUAGACAACUUUUUUCGAAGUUC
rnacentral:snoRNA from 1 species